rnacentral:rRNA from 1 species
GACGAACGCUGGCGGCGUGCUUAACACAUGCAAGUCGAACGGAAAGGCCCUGCUUGCAGGGUACUCGAGUGGCGAACGGGCGAGUAACACGUGGGUGAUCUGCCCUGCACUUCGGGAUAAGCCUGGGAAACUGGGUCUAAUACCGGAUAGGAGCCAUUUUUAGUGUGAUGGUUGGAAAGUUUUUUCGGUGUAGGAUGAGCUCGCGGCCUAUCAGCUUGUUGGUGGGGUAAUGGCCUACCAAGGCGGCGACGGGUAGCCGGCCUGAGAGGGUGGACGGCCACAUUGGGACUGAGAUACGGCCCAGACUCCGACGGGAGGCAGCAGUGGGGAAUAUUGCACAAUGGGCGCAAGCCUGAUGCAGCGACGCCGCGUGGGGGAUGACGGCCUUCGGGUUGUAAACUCCUUUCGCUAGGGACGAAGCUUUUUGUGACGGUACCUAGAUAAGAAGCACCGGCUAACUACGUG